rnacentral:tRNA from 1 species
GUCUCAGUAGCGUAGUGGUUAACGUACUGCCCUAAUUAGGCGCGAGAUGCGGGUUCGGAUCCCGCGUGAGACG